rnacentral:lncRNA from 1 species
CCACUGAUCCUCUUAUAAACAGAUUACUUAGAUAUUUAUUUUUGAUGAAAUCAAACAAUUUGAUCACAUCGAAUAUUCCAACUUUGAGAUGCUUGUUUUAAUCUAUUGUAGCUUGCUUAUCUUGUGAUCUCCAUCACUAGAAGUGAAAUCCAAAAUGCUGCCCCAUAUAGAUAUCUUUCUCAAGAUAUUCAUUCAAGGAGGCACUUUUCACAUCUAUUACCAAAUUCAUAAUCAUGGUGUACUGCAAAAUUAAAUAGUGUUUGGAUGGAUUUUAGCAUCGCUACAGGCCAAAAAUCUUCUGAUAGUCGCAUUGACUAUAUUUUUUUGCCAUAAACCUCGCUGAU